UACGAAGGGGGCUAGCGUUGCUCGGAUUCACUGGGCUUAAAGGGCGCGUAGGCGGACUCGCCAGUCUGUGGUGAAAGCCCCCAGCUUAACUGGGGAAGUGCCGUGGAUACUGCGAGUCUGGAGGAGGGUAGGGGCAUCUGGAACGCUGGGUGGAGCGGUGAAAUGCGUUGAUAUCCAGCGGAACUCCGGUGGCGAAGGCGAGGUGCUGGACCCUUUCUGACGCUGAGGCGCGAAAGCCAGGGGAGCAAACGGG
rnacentral:rRNA from 1 species